rnacentral:piRNA from 1 species
UGCCACAGUGGAACAGGGUUUCUCUAAGG